rnacentral:rRNA from 1 species
UACGGGGGGAGCAAGCGUUGUUCGGAAUUACUGGGCGUAAAGCGCACGUAGGCGGCUCUUUAAGUCAGGGGUGAAAUCCUGGAGCUCAACUCCAGAACUGCCUUUGAUACUGGGGAUCUCGAGUCCGGGAGAGGUGAGUGGAACUCCGAGUGUAGAGGUGAAAUUCGUAGAUAUUCGGAAGAACACCAGUGGCGAAGGCGGCUCACUGGCCCGGUACUGACGCUGAGGUGCGAAAGCGUGGGGAGCAAACAGG